rnacentral:lncRNA from 1 species
AGAAAUAACUGCUACUAGAUGCUAUUCAUGGGUAAGAUCGAAAUUAAACAUAACUUCCAGGCUCCUAUUAUUUUAGGCGUUUAACUUUUUUGGUCAAUUUAUGUUUAGCAUGAUUAGUUUUUUUAAUACUUAGAUGAUAAAAACAAUAUUUAUUCUUUGAUAAAAUUAUCUUGGACUUUUGUCUCAUACAACAAAAUCAAUCGGUGGUGUCAUGCUGAAUACUACUGGCCGUUCUGAUUUAACACACAAUAAAUAAUCCCAUUAAAUGGGAAUCGUUCUGAUUUAACACACAAUAAAUAAUCCCAUCAAAUGGGAAUUCAUUGAAAAGGAUUUCUAAAACAAAUACUGUGGAUUCAUUUAUUUUCGUGGAUAUCAAUUUUCGUGGAAUGCUGAAAACUUGCAUAUUCGUUAAUAUUUGAUUUCGUGGUUUUCCCAAUCUCUGUAUAAAAAGCCUUUUCAAAAUAUGUUAUUCGUUGAACAUUUGAAAUCGUGGUUCCCCUGUACCCACGAAACCCAAGAAAAUUGGUAGCCAACGAAUAAUAAUGAAAUAGGACUUAUGAUUUAUCAAAUAUCUAUAUUGGUCAAUUAUCUACAUACAUAUACUUACAUAUUUUAUUAAAAUUAACUCUACCUGUUUAACUCUUGUUCAUGUGUUGUUUGGUUUUUUUUUGUCAUACAUAUAUCAUGUUUGCAUUUUAACCCGUCAGGUUUUCGCUGUUUGAAAUACAGUGUUAUUUUUUUUAGCCUCGUGCAUGUCCACCGUGGAAGAGAUGCAUUACACUCCCAUGGUACCCAUAUUACAGAUGUGUUCAAAGAUGGGGAUGGGGAAAUUCAGGAAGUCCAUGGAGAAUGGGAAUCUAUGGUAGUUGGAGUAGCUACGGCAGUGGAGGAGGGGGUUACGGAGGUGGUGGUAUGGGUUAUGGAAGUGGCGGUAUGGGUGGUUACGGAGGAGGCGGUAUGGGUGGUUACGGAGGAGGCGGUAUGGGUGGUAUCGGAGGCGGUGGCAUGGGUGGUUACGGAAGCGGCGGUAUGGGUGGUUAUGGAGGUUACGGUGGCGGCGGCAUGGGUGGUAUUGGAGGCGGUGGUAUGGGUGGUUACGGAGGAGGCAUUAUGGGUGGUUACGGAGGUGGCAGUAUGGGUGGUUACGGAGGUGGCGGCUAUGGGUCUGGCGGUUAUGGAUCUGGUGGUUAUGGCGGUGGUGGCUAUGGGUCUGGUGGAUAUGGAUCUGGAAGUUAUGGCAGAAAGAAAUCAGUUUGUAAGUAUUCAAUACGCCUCGAUUAUGGAUUUUAUUUUCAAUUUCCUAACAUCUGUUUAAAUAACACCGUUUAUAUUAUUGAUGAUGCUAGUCAUGUUCUUGCAUUUUGAUAUAGGUUUGUCAUGGUGUCACUUAACUUUUAUCGCUAAGUUUUCUUAGGAAAAUGGCACAUCGAGCGACAUUCAAUUGUAUUAGUAAUCAAAGGUAGUAGGCUUAUAGUUGAAUACGCCAGACGUACGUUUCGUCAACAUAUGACUCAUCAGUGACGCUCAAAUCAGUUAGAAAGCCUAAUUAAACAGUUUAAAACUGAUACAAACUGAUUCUUCUUUUGCAUUGAAGGAAGAAAGUUUCAUUUGAAGUGAUACCGGUAUUAAUGUAAGCAAUGACUCGAAAGAACAGUUUUGUCACGUAAAGACUAGUUUCGAAUGCAAUUUUACAAAUGAGUACACCACAAAAUAACACCGAGAUGUAAAGAAUUAAUUUCAACAACAUGUGUUUUAUUCCUUGCAGAUUAGUGACAAAAGGAUGAAAAUUACAACGACUGGCCUAUUAUUUGAAUAUUUUAUUGAAUAAAUUUGUAUAUUAAGCAUU